GUACUUGCUUCAGCAGCGCAUAAACUAAAAUGUAACAAUAAGGAAAAGAAUAGCAUGACCCCUGGAAAAGGAUGACAUGGAAAUCCACAAAGCAUACCAUGAUUUU